GACGAACGCUGGCGGCGUGCCUAAUACAUGCAAGUCGAACGCAUUUUCUUUCACCGUAGCUUGCUACACCGAAAGAAAAUGAGUGGCGAACGGGUGAGUAACACGUGGGUAACCUGCCCAUCAGCGGGGGAUAACACUUGGAAACAGGUGCUAAUACCGCAUAAUUCCAUUUACCGCAUGGUAAAUGGAUGAAAGGCGCUUUUGCGUCACUGAUGGAUGGACCCGCGGUGCAUUAGCUAGUUGGUGGGGUAACGGCCUACCAAGGCUGCGAUGCAUAGCCGACCUGAGAGGGUGAUCGGCCACCCUGGGACUGAGACACGGCCCAGACUCCUACGGGAGGCAGCAGUAGGGAAUCUUCGGCAAUGGACGCAAGUCUGACCGAGCAACGCCGCGUGAGUGAAGAAGGGUUUCGGAUCGUAAAACUCUGUUGUUAGAGAAGAACAAGGAUGAGAGUGGAAAGUUCAUCCCUUGACGGUAUCUAACCAGAAAGCCACGGCUAACUACGUG
rnacentral:rRNA from 1 species